ensembl:lncRNA
UUCCCAUCCCAGUGCCCCCCCAAUCCCCUUCCAUUCCCAUCCCAGUCCCUUUGCAGUGCCCCCCAGUCCCCCCCACGUCCCCCAAUCCCAUUCCAGUCCCCCCAGUGCCAUCCCAGUCCAUCCCAGUGCCCCCAUUACCCCUCCCAGUGUCUCUGUUACCUCUCCCAGUCCCCCCCAGUUCCUCCCAGUGUCCCCAAUACCCCUCCCAGACUUUCCCAGUGCCCCCCAGUCACAGCCAAUCCUUCCCAGUCCCUCCAUUACCCAGGCCCACGCAAAGUGGGGUCUCGGAGCUGGCGCAUGUGCAGGCCCUAGCAAGGCCCCAUUGCAGGCCUUAUUGCAGGCCCUAGCAAGGCCCCAUUGCAGGCCCUAUUGCAGGCCCUAGCAAGGCCCCAUUGCAGGCCCUAGCAAGGCCCCAUUGCAGGCCCUAUUGCAGGCCCUAGCAAGGCCCCAUUGCAGGCACUGGCAGGUCUAAACAGGCAGACACUGUGCCAUGCUGCAGUUCUGAGGUUCGUGUGGGCCAUUAUGUUGUUUCCACAAAAAUUAGUGGAAGCUGCAGUUCUCCACCUAAGUUUACAGCUCUUGAGACCCCACUACGCAUGCGCCAGGCCCUAGAACCCACCUGCCUGCAUCACCUCCGCAUGUCACCUUGUCUCUGUAGUCUGUAGUUCUGACCCCACACUUCAACCCCACGUCCCCGUGUCCCCCCAUGUCCCUGUGUCCCCACACGUCCCCUCAUGUCCCCAUGUCCCCUCAAGCCCCCCCAUGUCCCCUGCUCCACUUCGCUCCACGCCAAUGUCACCGUGGGGUGCGUGAAGUCCAGGGAGAAGUUGAUGGCCAUGUGCAGUGGGGUGAUGGUGUCCUCGGGGCACAGCUGUGACAGUGGGGGCGGGGGUAGCGCCCCACAAGUGGGGGUCAUUGCCCCCAAAAUGGGGCUUGUGCCCCAUGCAUGUGGGGCAGGUUGUUCAGGGAGCGCAUUCUGGAGAUGAUUUGUCGUUUCUCCAAACCUGCC